UACGGAGGGGGCAAGCGUUGUUCGGAUUUACUGGGCGUAAAGGGUCCGUAGGUGGCUGCAUAAGUCUGGUGUGAAAUCUUCGCCGCUUAACGGGAAGAAGCCACUGGAAACUGCGUAACUUGAGUAUGGUAGAGGCAAGCGGAAUUCCUGGUGUAGCGGUGGAAUGUGUAGAUAUCAGGAAGAACAUCUGUGGCGAAGGCGGCUUGCUGGGCCAUCACUGACACUGAGGGACGAAAGCGUGGGGAGCAAACGGG
rnacentral:rRNA from 1 species